UACUGUGGAAGAAUUAGAGCCCUUGCUAUUGCCUCUUAAAGAUCAAGCUUCACAGGAUGGUUUUUUUGGACCAGUCUUCAAUUACUUCACAUAUAGAAUUCAACAAAACUUGCAUAUUGUAUUGAUAAUGGAUUCAUCAAACUUAAACUUCGUAAUAAACUGUGAGAGUAAUCCAGCUUUGCAUAAAAAAUGCCAGGUGAUUUGGAUGGAGAGUUGGUCAGAUAGCAGUAUGAAGAAAAUACCUGAAAUGUUAUUCAGUGAAACAAGUGAUGAAGAAAAAUAUAGCGACAAAAAAAGAAAAGAAGAAAACAAAAAAAAUUCAGGUGAAAUCAAUUUUAUCUGAUUUUUCUGUAUGAAGUAAUUGCCAUUUUUACUAAUGUUACAGAUCCG